UAAAAAACGUUCAUCCUAGUUUAUCUUAAUAAUGGUAUCACUCUUGAUCGUGUUGUGAUAAUCCCCUAUCAAAGGAAAAUCAGUUGUUACGCGUGUCCAGUAAUGUAAGUCAUUGAAAAAAAAAAGAAAAUACAUUCAGAACAUCGAGAAAGUUAGAAAAUCGUGCAUCCUGUGGAUCGUCAAUGCAAAUCGAUCCGCUUUCGAUCGACACCUGCGCGUGGGUACGCGCGAUUACAUAUGUAUAACUUCGACGAAAAGCGGUCGAUGUCGUCGUAUUUUAGAUUUUAUCAAGAAGAUUCUACCCACGGUAUCCUGAUCAUACGAGAAGGCAAUUAUUAGUAACUGGCAAAUUAUUGUAUCCGUCGUAAUUCACUUUAAUGGUUACGCGUACAGUUAAUGAUCCAAGACGCUACUACACGUUUUACGCGUUUAAAGUCUAAUCAAGGGUGAACUUUUCUUGUUUCAUAUAAAACUAUCAGAUAUAAACCUUUCCUCUCUGAUAGCUUGUGCUCGACAGUUCUCCUCGCCAACUCGAUCAAAUGUAUAAAAUACGCAAAUUGUCCCAGAGAAGUAUAUAUAUGUACAUACAUGUAUGUAUGUUCGAACAUAAAAAUUAAGAUUACCAUUUCCACGUGGCAAGUCUAAAGUGUAUAUAUAUAUAUAUAUAUAUAUAUAUACGUUAAAAUAUGAAAAUAUUUCAUUUUGUUUAUACACCGGACUAUAAAUCGAGAAUAGCUACGACCAAGAUACUCAUCGCUCGGAGAUAACGAGAAUGAGAAGACGAGAAAUAAUUCCGCGGUCGGCUUAAUUGUGGAUAGCCAGCUAGAAUUCCAGAUAGUCACAGGGGGCAACGGAAUCGACGUAAUCAAAAUAUUCAUCGGAUAAGGAAUGAAUGGAAGCACACGGAGAACACGGAGAAGUCUUGACAACGGCAUAAUUCGCGUGCUUCACUCACGGUACACGGACAUAUAUCCACGGUAAUUCGAGAAACAUAACUCAAGUCCCAGCGGAGCGCUACAUCACGGCCACCAGUUUCUUGGCAGAUAUCGCCACGGCGCACCGUGUCGGCUUCCCUUUGCUACUUUACCUGCCUUUUUCCUUUUACCACUCCUCGGUCAGCCCCGCGCUCACCCUCGUGUCUUGUCAACCAAGUUUUACCCCUUCCAUCGUGGAUUAACCGACUGUGACGACUUUUCAUCGCGACGCGUGUCUGCCACCUUCCGCGAACCAUGUAAACCGAUAUUCAAGACUUUCGCGGUGUUCAUCAGAAUUGAUUCAAGUCGAUACUUAUUUUCGCGACGAGAUCACAGGUGUAUGGAUAAAGAAUCGAUAUAUCAGAUUUUGCGGGAUCAUUGCUUGAAAAUUUCAUUACAUCAGGAUAUCGUGUGCAGGAUAUAAAAAAAACACGGCCUUUUAUAACAUUUAUAACAAGUUUAAUGUAUCUAGGAAGCGAAUGGAAAUAUAUUUUUGUUUAUGUGAAUCUGCGAAAGUAAUAUUUCGAUUUCUCUUCCGGAGAAAUGUAUCGAUCAAUAUUUUGCGUAAAGUUUCUCAAAUUUUGUAUUAGAAGUAUUCCAAAUAUCAUUUGGAUAAUCAAAAGGAAGUUUCAGUACAUAAAAAUUUGGACCUCCAAUGGACAUUAAUAAUUUUUUUAAUGUUUC